ensembl:lncRNA
CUCAAAUGAAGGUGUAGAACCAUCUCAAGGAUGAUCAGAAGAAAUGUACAGCACCUGAGUUAAAUAUAUGAGUGUCACAGCAAAGGCUCUGAAUACUUAGGACCAUGUGAUAUUUCAGUUUUUCUGUUUUAAUAAAUCUGCAAAAAUGUCGACAAUUCUGUGUUUUUCUGUCAAUAUGGGGUGCUGUGUGUACAUUAAUGAGGAAAAAAAGAACUUAAAUGAUUUUAACAAAUGGCUGCAAUAUAACAAAGAGUGAAAAAUUUAAGAGGGUCUGAAUACUUUCCAUACCCACUGUAGAUUAAGUAUAUUAUAGAAAAAGUAUAGAAAAAAUAUAGAAAAAGUAGGCUAUAUAAAACAAAACGUUUAAUAAAAUUAAACACUUACGGGACACGAGACAAUAAAACAUGAAGAAGCAAAUGGUUGUUGUAUAACCAUGUUGAAAAGCACACACCUGUGUUGCCAUCCGAAACUCAUCGACGCCAUCUUGUGCGCCUAGCCUAGGGGCUAAUAAUCUGGCGAGGGUUCAGAAUUGGGCACAAUAAGCUUUGUCUGAUAGAAAAGAGAGGACGUUUAAAGACAAGAUUCUCUCUGUAUGUUUAAAGAUGCCAAAACCCUCUGAUGUGAUGAUAACCACGCCAGUAUACCAGCAACAGCAGUAUGAAAUCUCCAAGUUCCUGAAGACCAAGCCACUGGCUCUGGGGAUUUUGGUAGUACUGAUAGCCUUAUUGGCACUCGGUUUGACGCUCCAUAAUGAGAGUUUUCAUCUUCUCUGGUCACCAAUCAUUUCCACUAUAAUUGGAGCCAUAACAGUCUUGGCUGCAUACACACGUAAACCACGUCUGGUCAAUAUCUCACAAAUGCUCAGCUAUGUACAUUUUGCAAUAGCUGCUUUCUCCCUCCAAACUCACAUUCUUUUUGUUUUGAUUUUUCCGAAUGUGACCUCCUAUGUCCUUAUCGCCUGUGAUAUACUGAUCUUCAGCUUCUCUCUUGCUAUUGCCGUAACCUCCUGUUCCUGUUGCUGCAAUCCAAAGGUAAACAUUAUCGUCAACAGCAUCAUGCUAAUGGGUCAGCCGGACUCUUCUGCAGUGGUACAGUCCGUUAGUUCAGUCAUGUACAUGCUGCCAGCAGCACAUGGCUUAGUAACACCUGCUCCUCUGCCAAAUUGUGGUCUUUUCCCAAAUGCAUCUCCACCAAUCUACAGUCCAGUGCCAACUACACCUCCACCCAGCUACGAUAAACUCUCAGAUGCACCACCACCAAACUAUGGUCCAGUUGCAAGAACACCUCCACCAGCAUAUGAGUAUGAAGAUUUACAGACCAGAAGAUGAACUAGAUCUCAGACGCAAAUUGAAAUGUUUGAAGUUUACACAAUUUAUGGUGUUGGAUUAUGGCGAAUGUAAAACCAAAACUGAUACUUGUGUAAAUCAAAUGGAUGAGAAACACGCAUCAGAGUCCUUUGUUUCGAUCGUUUUGUUUUCACCCAAAUGUAUAAUGUUCUGUUGGAUAUGAUUAUACAUAAUACAUUGUUUUUUGUUUGUCAGUUUUCUUAAUUUAUGUGCAGUUUUUUUGUAAUUCAACACAGUAGGCAGCACAAUGGAAAUUUCACUUGAUUAAUUCAGCCCAGCAUUUACAGACUGAGACUUAGCCUUUAAAAUCCUAGCAAACAGUGUUCAGUGUGUACUUUUAAAGAAAAAAAUGUUUAAAUUUGUAUCACUCAAACAAGUGGUUUGCACAAUCAAGUCAUAAAUUGACUAUUCAUUAACCUCAGCAGCUCUAUUAUUCAGUUAAUAAAAUCAGUAAAAAAUGUACUGUAACUAAAUUA